rnacentral:rRNA from 1 species
GACGAACGCUGGCGGCGUGCUUAACACAUGCAAGUGGAGCGACUAAGCGGGCUUCGGCCCGCGGCAAAGCCGCGAACGGGUGAGUAACACGUGGGUAACCUGCCCUGAUGACCGGGACAACCCGAGGAAACUCGGGCUAAUACCGGAUGUGGUCCAUACACAUGAGUGUUUGGACUAAAGUUAGCUUCGGCCUCCGCAUCAGGAUGGGCCCGCGGCGCAUUAGCUUGUUGGUGAGGUAAUGGCUUACCAAGGCGACGAUGCGUAGCUGGUCUGAGAGGACGAUCAGCCACACUGGGACUGAGACACGGCCCAGACUCCUACGGGAGGCAGCAGUGGGGAAUCUUGCGCAAUGCGCGAAAGCGUGACGCAGCAACGCCGCGUGAGGGAAGACGGCUUUCGGGUUGUAAACCUCUUUCAGGAGGGACGAAGCCUGGCUGGUGAAUAGCCUGUCCAGGUGACGGUACCUCCACAAGAAGCCCCGGCUAACUACGUGCCAGCCGCCGCAGUAA